AUAGCCAAUAAACUCUAACUCUGCCUCUUUACUACCAACCUCCAACAUUUUCAUCUAACACGUUACGUUUCGGAGGAUUCUACAUUUGUGUCCAUAUAAUAUAGAAAAUUCUGACAGUGUUAGGCAAUUAAAGAAGUAUUUAACACAACUUUAUUAAACAAACGCAAAGCUUGUUAUAUAUAUAUACCUGUGAUUUAAGUCAGAAAAUAAAAGAAAAACUACAUACGGAUUUUUGUACGUAUACCUGAGAGGCUGUGAUUUAAGUCAGAAAAUGAAAGAAAAACUUCAUACGCGCCAUAGAUUACAUUGCCUUCAAUAGUAAAACGGAAACGACCUGCGGUAACGUGACCCUUAAAACCCAGUAUAUCAGCUCUCUCCUUUAGCGACAUUCGAGAUGCGCGUUCUAUUCUUUUUUAUUUCUGUGGCUGCUAGUAGGUCGGGUCAAGCCGGUUCGCUUUUUCAAUAUGUUUCUCGUUUAAUAUAAAACUAAACGUGAAAAAUUCAACGAAUUAUCAAAACAUGUGACCUAAUAUAAAAGUAAACGUGAAAAAUUCAACGAAUUAUCAAAACAUAUGACCUAACAGUUUUCAUAAACUGCUAUAAAUUAUUUAAAACUCUAUUUAAAACUCUUAUCAGAAAAGAGCUGCUUCCCAUGCCUUUUAUCUCCUCAGGCGCGGACAACAGUCGUGGAAGAAGUGCAAGCUCUUCAAUGCCACCGACGCCUCGGAGGGUAUGCAACCGAUGCCUCGAAGUAACCUAAGCUAGCGGUUGAAACGACAGAUGCAGACCAUAGGCGGAAUACCAGUGGAUGGAUGAUCAACCUCGAACAACAUCAUUGUUUGCUGAAAUAUAGCAAUAGCAAAAAUGUGACUGUGCACAUACCUUUUUUUAAUGUUUAUGUUAUAUUUAAAUGCCGAUACACAAAAUACGACAUGUCGGCACACUUGUGGUGCACGAGCGGCAAAUGCCCACAGCCGCCACACCACAAAAUGGAAAAGGACCGGAAUCUACCCCAAAAAGUCUCGGGGCCAGCAGCUAGGACGAAGUCAAUCGCCACAACUUCCAAAACAAAUCUCCCCAACAAACAACUAAAAAAAGAAACAUUAGUAAAAUGUCAACUAGUGAUAAAGAAUACAGUUCGACACAAAAAAACAGUUUGACAAAAAAAACAGGAAAUACUAACAGAAGAAAAGAUUCGACAGGACUGUUUAAAAGAAGUUGAUGUGGUCGCGGAUGAGGCCUUGCCCUUGCCCAUCGGUACUGCCAACGGAGGCUCUGUCGGCUGAUUAAUAACUUAGUAGGGUGGGGCAAGACGGGUUUCUUAUUAAAUUUAUUAUUCAAUUUGCAGGUAAACGUAUAAAUAUUUUUUUUCUUUAUUGACUGGCCUUAUGACGUAUCUUGUAAACAAAAUGCACUGGCAUGUGUUUUUAAGUGCGUCCUGAAACAGCACCGUUCACAAAGAUGCCGAGGGAAAGAAAGUUGUUUGUCCAAAAUUGGUUGGAAGUACACUGGCACACAACCGCAAAGAAUGAUGUCCGAAAAAAAGAAUGCGUUUAAAGGAGAGGUCCAGUCAAAACUGACCGACGUUGACAUUGAAAAUAUCGAAGACAAGCAGCUUUUGGAAGCUGUGGCACUGUUUGAAAGUCUUAAUGAGCAGUCGUGCAGUUCUUUUGAAAACCUCUUCGUUCGAGUGCACCAAGCCAAGCGUGUGUUUGCCUCGUAGACGGGAGGCGACUCUUCCGGUGUCGAACCACGCUUGGAUCAGUCACACUUUAUGUCAGAAAACAAAGGAGUGAAACGUCGUGUUGAAACCCGCGGCCUUAAAUCAGGUUUGGUGGGCGCCACCGCAGCCUCCUGUGAUAUGUGCACCCAGCCGCCGAAAAUGGAUC